GGGGCUGCAUUGAUUCGACAAAAUUAUGUUUCGGUAGAAUGCAAGUAGUAGGCAUACUUAAAAUGCAAAACAAAAAUAAUCGGAGAAAAUUACGAUUUUUCUCCAUCAUUUGCUUAAUUUAAGUAAAUAAUGGAGCUUCUCUUUAAUCUUUUCUUACGAGAUUAAAUGUAGGAGUAAUAAAGUAAGAUAUAUUAAUAAUAUGCUUGUGAUUACUAAUGAAUAAAUAAUAAGCUUUAAGUAUUAAAAUGAAGUUGGCAAUCAAUGUUAAUACUCGAGAAUACAAACCAAAUAAACUUGUAGAUUUUCUAUGGAAAUGAAUUUUGGACAGGAGUUCGAUACUCCUCAGCUCCACCA
rnacentral:tmRNA from 1 species